CGCCUCCAGAAGUUGUGGUGCACCUCCAGGACGUGCGCCUCGAGCCCGAGAGGCAUGCUGAGGCCAGGCCACCGGCAGGAUGAGUGUGAACGAGGCAGGCAGCUCCGGCCGCGGGGGGCAGGCAGCCUACCACCUGCACAUCUACCCGCAGCUGGCCACCAGCGAGAGCCGGGCCUCGUGCUGCGUGACCGCCACCAAGGACAGCACCACUUCCGAUGUCAUCCAGGAUGCCAUCGCCAGCCUGCAGCUGGAUGGCACCAAGUGCUACGUGCUGGUGGAGGUGAAGGAGACGGGUGGGGAGGAGUGGGUGCUGGAUGCCAACGACUCGCCUGUGCACCGCGUGCUGCUGUGGCCCCGGCGGGCCCAAGACGAGCACCCGCAGGAGGACGGCUAUUAUUUCCUGCUGCAGGAGCGCAAUGCGGAUGGCACCAUCAAGUACGUGCACAUGCAGCUGGUGUCCCAGGCCACGGCCACCCGGCGCCUGGUGGAGCGCGGCCUCCUGCCCCGGCAGCAGGCAGACUUUGACGAUCUGUGCAACCUCCCCGAGCUGACCGAGGAGAACCUCCUCAAGAACCUCAAGCACCGCUUCCUGCAGCAGAAGAUCUACACAUACGCCGGGAGCAUCCUGGUGGCUGUCAAUCCCUUCAAGUUCCUCCCCAUCUACAACCCCAAGUACGUGAAGAUGUACGAGAACCAGCAGCUGGGCAAGCUGGAGCCGCACGUGUUCGCGCUGGCCGACGUGGCCUACUACGCCAUGCUCCGAAAGCGGGUCAAUCAGUGCAUCGUGAUCUCGGGUGAGAGCGGCUCGGGCAAGACGCAGAGCACCAACUUCCUGAUCCACUGCCUCACCGCACUGAGCCAGAAGGGCUACGCCAGUGGUGUCGAGAGGACCAUCCUGGGCGCCGGCCCCGUGCUGGAGGUGAGCUGGGCUGUCGGCGGGAGGGGCCCUCUGCCUUAA